rnacentral:lncRNA from 1 species
AGUUCUAGAGAUGGUGGCAACUUUCCCUGAAACAAACACACUUCAGUCACUUUUAACACCGACACUACUGAGCUGAAGUGCAGUAAGCGCCAGGCUAAAGGUGCCUGGCUGACAGUCUCUUCCUUCACCUUUGAUCUCACACAACUUCAAACACACAACAGCCUUGUUUAGGAAACACUCCCCCAGUGCUCAAACUGAGUAAAAGACUGACCAUCCCAGAGCUGGCCCAGCUCUGUGGCCUGAUUAAAGUGUUUCAGUUGCAACUGGAUCCAGCAUUUUAAAAAA